GAUGAACGCUGGCGGCGUGCCUAAUACAUGCAAGUCGAGCGAACGGACGAGAAGCUUGCUUCUCUGAUGUUAGCGGUGGACGGGUGAGUAACACGUGGAUAACCUACCUAUAAGACUGGGAUAACUUCGGGAAACCGGAGCCAAUACCGGAUAAUAUUUUGAACCGCAUGGUUCAAAAGUGAAAGACGGUCUUGCUGUCACUUAUAGAUGGAUCCGCGCUGCAUUAGCUAGUUGGUAAGGUAACGGCUUACCAAGGCAACGAUGCAUAGCCGACCUGAGAGGGUGAUAGGCCACACUGGAACUGAGACACGGUCAAGACUCCUACGGGAGGCAGCAGUAGGGAAUCUUCCGCAAUGGGCGAAAGCCUGACGGAGCAACGCAGCGUGAGUGAUGAAGGUCUUCGGAUCGUAAAACUCUGUUAUUAGGGAAGAACAUAUGUGUAAGUAACUGUGCACAUCUUGACGGUACCUAAUCAGAAAGCCACGGCUAACUACGUG
rnacentral:rRNA from 1 species